AGCCCCCUCAGGAGGAUGUGUUGGUUUUUUUUCAGUUGUUAAGAGCUCCAGACCUUCCAGCCCAGCUUUCCUGAUCCCAUUUGGAGAUCCCACUCUCCAGAGACACAGAUCCCCCUCUCCUGCUGCAGCCAGGAAGGAGAGAGAAUCCCAGAAUCCUAGAAUGUCAGGUCGGAAGGGAUCUCAAGGAUCAUUUGGUUCAACCCUUCUGAUGUUCAUACGAGAUGCCUCAGGAACUUUGGCACUUCCUACCAGAUUUGAUUUUUUGCUUCCAGUCACUGGAACUUGGAGCUGCCCAGUCAUCUAUCUGCUCUGAUGUGUCACCACCCUCACCAA